CGGCCUUUCGCUUCCGCGGCGCGCUGCGCCCUCCUCUCUCGUGCGCUUCCGCUCGCUGCGCUUCGCACCGACCUGGGCAUGGCAUCGCGGGUCCGCAGGACACGGCGCCGGGAGCGCACGGCGUGGACCUCGCAGGGGGCGGCGGCGGCGGCUGGGGGCUCCCAGCGAGCCGCCUGCGACCUUCUGCCUGCGCGCCCCUGCCUUGGGGCUCAGGUAUGAAGCGGACUGGAAUGGAUCCGUAGGAACUCACAAGAGAGGAAUGUCUCCUGAGUGACCACGUGCUCGUGAGAUGGAUCUGCGGCAUGGUGUGGAGGCUUGGAGACGGGACCGUAAGGUUGCCAGCAGCCUGGUCUUACCAUCACAGCUAUUGGAGGCAGUUGCCCAGCUGAAGUUGGAAUGAAAUGUUGAGGAAGGUCAGCUUCUCAGAGAGGCCCACAGACUCAAGUAGCCUGAACCAAUGUUAAUCAGAUUUAUAGAUUUAUUUUUUAAAUAAAAAUCCUUUGAUUUUUCG